UACGUAGGGUGCAAGCGUUGUCCGGAAUUAUUGGGCGUAAAGAGCUCGUAGGCGGUCUGUCGCGUCGGAUGUGAAAAUCAGGGCUCAACCCUGGACCUGCAUUCGAUACGGGCAGACUAGAGUUCGGUAGGGGAGACUGGAAUUCCUGGUGUAGCGGUGAAAUGCGCAGAUAUCAGGAGGAACACCGGUGGCGAAGGCGGGUCUCUGGGCCAAACUGACGCUGAGGAGCGAAAGCGUGGGGAGCAAACAGG
rnacentral:rRNA from 1 species